rnacentral:lncRNA from 1 species
AAUUAAAUCAUGUAUAUUUGGUAUUUCCUUCAGACUACUUGUGUAAAAGAUUAGUUUUAUUUCCGCAAUUUUAAUGUUUCCCGAUUCAGUUAUGUAUGCUCGUAUUGAUAUUCUAGAUAAAUCAAUAUGGGGUGUUAUAGGUAGAAUGUGCAGAGAGGGUGCUGAGGAUUAGGAACAUUUGAUUUUUCCUCCGUUUUUGUUUGGAUGUAUUUAGGAUAUAGUGAUACAAUCAACAAGUGAACAGAUUUUGUAGGGUUUCUGGUUUUUUGUCUGCACUUAUAUCUGUGUUGGAAUGCAGCCUUGAUUAUUAUAUUCUGAUCCUUCUCGGAGUUGUGGCAUAUGCUUAGUUGUUUGUUUGAAUGGUGCACCACUCUCCCAUCGUGUUUUUACCCAGUUGUUUGUUUUUACAGACAAGCAUUACUAACCAAAUCUAAUUUCAAUUUUCACCCUAUUUUUCGACGUUGACACAGAUUGUCCACUUGUUGGUUCACACAUCACGACCAAAAUAUUUUUCCUCUAUGCUCUCUUCCUCUUUGUGAUUUGCAAAGUCACACUCCCACUCUCUCUUUUCUCUCUCUCUCAACCCUCUUCUCUCCUGUAUAGUUAACCAAACAUAUUCUUCAUCAUCUCAUCUAUUGGUAGUAACUGAGGUCAUCUCAUCUAUUGGUAGUAACUGAGGUAUGCGUUUGUUUUGUUGUUUUUUCCUUGCAUAGAUUUUUCUGUUCUGUCUCUUUAUGGCUUUAUUUAGUGAUAUUAAUUCUGAAUGAUACCUGAUAUGAAAAGUGCUUUUAGGCGUGGCUUCAUUUCAAAUCAUGUUUCAUGUUUUAGCUAUUGGACUCUUACGUUAGGCUGAAUUUUCACUCAGAAAAAUAUAUGGUAGCAAAAGAAAUGCUUGAUGGACAUAUUCCGAGGAAUUGUAGCAAGAAAUGUUUGAUGAAUAUAUUCAGGGGAAUUGGAGACACUUUUCAUAAUGCAUUUUUGUUUGAAAAUUUAGUUUCAAUUUGAGAAUUUAUAAAUAAUUUGUGCUAUUACUAUUAUUUAGACUAUUAUUGUUCCCUUUAUAUUGCUAUGAGACUUCAUUCAUGUAUUAUUUGAGACCCUUGCAUAAUCUGAGAAAUCUUUCAUUCAUGUUUUCUAAUAAAGUGGUUAAUUUCUACUCUAGUAGAUCACAGCGUGUAUUUUAGUCUGUGCAAUGAAAUUAUUUUAAUAUAGUCCGGUGCCAUUUUAUAAUCUGCUGUAUAUUUUUUCCUGUCUAAAGGUAAUACACUAAUGGUGUUGAUGGUGUUGAAAUGGAUUUCUGAAUAUAGGAGAGGAACAUGCUUAGUCCUGAAGGAGAAAUUAAAAUAAGUUUUGGCUACAAAUGCAAUAGUGAUAGAGGUAUCCCUAUCGAGAUUGCCAUCGGCUACAAAAAUCCUCCCAUAGUCCGUUGAGCAAGUAAUUUCUCUAGCUUGUCAGGUUCAGCCUUAAGUGCAAAUGCUACACUAGUCAACACAA